rnacentral:rRNA from 1 species
UAUCAGAUGAGCCUAGGUCGGAUUAGCUAGUUGGUGAGGUAAUGGCUCACCAAGGCUACGAUCCGUAACUGGUCUGAGAGGAUGAUCAGUCACACUGGAACUGAGACACGGUCCAGACUCCUACGGGAGGCAGCAGUGGGGAAUAUUGGACAAUGGGCGAAAGCCUGAUCCAUACAGGCCGCGUGUGUGAAGAAGGUCUUCGGAUGUAAAGCUAAUGGAGUGGGAGGAAGGGCAUUAACCUAAUACGUUAGUGUU